GAUACCGAUUAUUGGGGGACCAUUAAAGCCGAUACCGAUACCGAUUAUUGGGGGACCAUUAAAGCCGAUUACCGAUACCGAUUAUUGGGGGACCAUUAAAGCCGAUACCGAUUAUUGGGGGACCAUUAAAGCCGAUACCGAUACCGAUUAUUGGGGGACCAUUAAAGCCGAUACCGAUACCGAUUAUUGGGGGACCAUUAAAGCCGAUACCGAUACCGAUUAUUGGGGGACCAUUAAAGCCGAUACCGAUACCGAUUAUUGGGGGACC
rnacentral:lncRNA from 13 species